GACGAACGCUGGCGGCGUGCUUAACACAUGCAAGUCGAACGGGCCCGCCCCUGUUUUUGGGGGUGGGUUGAGUGGCGAACGGGUGAGUAUCACGUGAGUAACCUGCCCCCUGCUCCUGGAUAACUGCUUGAAAGGGCGGCUAAUACGGGGUGUGCCGGCUGGUCCGCAUGGGCCUGGUCGGGAUAGUUUCAUCUUCGGGUGUUUCGGUGGGGGAUGGGCUCGCGGCCUAUCAGCUUGUUGGUGGGGUGAUGGCCCACCAAGGCGGUGACGGGUAGCCGGCCUGGGGGGGUGGGCGGCCACACUGGGACUGAGGCACGGGCCAGACUCCUGCGGGAGGCAGCAGGGGGGGGUAUUGCACAAUGGGCGGAAGCCUGAUGCAGCGACGUCGCGUGAGGGAUGGAGGCCGUCGGGUUGUGAACCUCUUUCUCCGGUGGUGAAGGCCCUGUCCGUUGCGGCGGGGUUGACGGUAGCCGGGUAUGAAGCGCCGGCUAACUACGUG
rnacentral:rRNA from 1 species